UUUGAAAAAUAUAUUUAUAAUCCUGGGCAUGCCAUGAUUGUGUCAUACCACAACGGACCGUGGUAGGGUCUUGAGCACAAAAGAACAUGUUAGACGUAUUACAUAUGAUAAUGUUCAUGUUCACUUUCUUGGACCAAUUUUUAAUAACCAUUUAAUAAAUGGACAUGAUUAUUAAUUAAAAUUUGGUCUACCAUGGAUCAAAACUCAUGUCGACCAUUCUAUAUGAAUUCAAACACUAAGCAAAGAGAAAAAAAUAAGAAUAUAAUCUCUGCUGCCCACAACAUAAAGGGGCUCAUUACUCGUUUUCGUAUUGGAUUGGGGUCAACGAGAAAAUGGAAACAACGGCUUAAACCAUUAGGUGUAGGCGUCUUUCAGAGAUGAAAUCUUAUUGUUCUUGUAUAUACUNN
rnacentral:lncRNA from 1 species